GUGCUCACUUCAGCAGCACGUGUACUAAAACUGCAACAACACAGAGAAGAUUAGCAUGACCCCUGUGCAAGGACGACACGCAAAUUCAUGAACCAUUACAUAUUUUU